rnacentral:rRNA from 1 species
AGUGAACGCUGGCGGUAGGCCUAACACAUGCAAGUCGAACGGGAGCACAGUAAGAGCUUGCUCUUACGGGUGGCGAGUGGCGGACGGGUGAGGAAUACAUCGGAAUCUACUUUUUCGUGGGGGAUAACGUAGGGAAACUUACGCUAAUACCGCAUACGACCUACGGGUGAAAGCAGGGGAUCUUCGGACCUUGCGCGAUUGAAUGAGCCGAUGUCGGAUUAGCUAGUUGGCGGGGUAAAGGCCCACCAAGGCGACGAUCCGUAGCUGGUCUGAGAGGAUGAUCAGCCACACGGGAACUGAGACACGGUCCAGACUCCUACGGGAGGCAGCAGUGGGGAAUAUUGGACAAUGGGCGCAAGCCUGAUCCAGCCAUACCGCGUGGGUGAAGAAGGCCUUCGGGUUGUAAAGUCCUUUUGUUGGGAAAGAAAAGCAGCAGGUUAAUACCCCGCUGUUCUGACGGUACCCAAAGAAUAAGCACCGGCUAACUUCGUG